rnacentral:rRNA from 1 species
AUUGAACGCUGGCGGCAGGCCUAACACAUGCAAGUCGAGCGGAUGACGGGAGCUUGCUCCUUGAUUCAGCGGCGGACGGGUGAGUAAUGCCUAGGAAUCUGCCUGGUAGUGGGGGACAACGUUUCGAAAGGAACGCUAAUACCGCAUACGUCCUACGAGAGAAAGCAGGGGACCUUCGGGCCUUGCGCUAUCAGAUGAGCCUAGGUCGGAUUAGCUAGUAGGUGAGGUAAUGGCUGACCUAGGCGACGAUCCGUAACUGGUCUGAGAGGAUGAUCAGUCACACUGGAACCGAGACACGGUCCAGACUCCUACGGGAGGCAGCAGUGGGGAAUAUUGGACAAUGGGCGAAAGCCUGAUCCAGCCAUGCCGCGUGUGUGAAGAAGGUCUUCGGAUUGUAAAGCACUUUAAGUUGGGAGGAAGGGCAGUAAGUUAAUACCUUGCUGUUUUGACGUUACCGACAGAAUAAGCACCGGCUAACUCUGUGCCAGCCGCCGCCGUAAAAC